rnacentral:sRNA from 1 species
UGGGCUUGUUAGAGGUUGGUGGUAGA